rnacentral:lncRNA from 1 species
ACCGCCCAAGUAGCACCCCAUCGGCGCCCCACUAGCGACCCAUAAGCGCCCCAUAACCACACCCAUAGCCCCAUACACCAGUCCCAUAGGUGCCCAUAUUACCCUAUAACCACCCCAUAAAACCACCCCAUAGAGCGCCCAUAACCACCCCAUUAGCGCCCAUCAGAAGACCCCAUAGUGGCCCAUAGACACCCCAUGGCGACCCAUAACCACCCCAUAGCGACCCAUAGACACCACAUAGUACCCCAUACCCACCCCAUAGAGACCCAUAGCACCCCAUAGCGACCCAUAGAGACCCUAUAGACACCCUAUAGACACCCCAUAGUGACCCAUAGACACCCAUAGCGGCCCCAUAGCGACCCCAUAGCGCCCCAUAACCACACCAUACUGCCCCAUAACCACCCCAUAGUGCCCCAUAGUGACCCAUAACCACCCCAUAGACACCCCAUAGUGCCCCAUAACCACACCAUACUGCCCCAUAACCACCCCAUAGUGCCCCAUAGUGACCCAUAACCACCCCAUAACCACCCCAUAGACACCCCAUAGUGCCCCCAUAGCACCUCAUAGCGACCCAUAGACACCCACAGCGGCCCCAUAGCCACCCCAUAACCACCCCAUAACCACCCAUAUAGCCCCAUAGAGACCCAUAGAGCCCCAUAGCGCCCCAUAACCACCCCAUAACCACCCCAUAGACACCCCAUAGUGCCCCAUAACCACCCCAUAACCACCCCAUAGUGACCCCAUAGCGUCCCAUAGGGACCCAUAGCGACCCAUAACCACCCCAUAGCUCCCCAUACCCCCCCAUAUCCCCCAUAUUCCCCCAUAUAACCCCAUAGCCCCCAUAUCUCCCCAAUUUUACCCAAUUUUCCCCUUUUUCGCCCCAUUUUCAGGCAGCGCCGCCCGUCGUCGCCGCGAGGCCCGUUUGGACAAAGUCCUUUGGGACAUGCAACGCCACCGGAGACUGGAGGAACAGAUCCUACGGACAGGCCGGGACCUAUUUCCACCCACCAAAUACUGAAAAAAACCCAAAAAACCCCAUUUUUAUGCCCCAAAAAGCAAAUUUUUCACCCCAAAAAAGUGACUUUGAGGCCUAACUAGGCUUCUUGAGGCCUAACUAGGCCGCUUUGUCGCCUCUUGAUGACGUCAUUGCUUUGA